UCCCUGGUGGUCCAGUGGCUAAGACUCUGCAUUCCCAACGCAGGGAGCCUGGGUUCAAUCCCUGGUCCGGGAA
rfam:TPA: Bos taurus chromosome 2, whole genome shotgun sequence.